rnacentral:snoRNA from 1 species
GCCUGUGUGUUUGUUCAGCUGGUGGACAAAGGCAGGUUAGCCAAGUGCAAAAAUAAAUCCUCUUUUGAAACCCAGAACUCAUUGUUCAGUGCGAGUUUUAAUUCAUAUAAAAUGGAAUAUA